UAGUAUAUGACUUAGUGUAAAUAACACUAGAGGCAUGUGAACUUAGGGACAGGUGGAUUCCCUAGAAAAUGACUUGUUGCAUAAACACAUGAUGAGGCCAAACAUAAUAUUUAGACAUUGGGAUAGGUGGAUUCCCGAGUGACUUGUAACCCUAGAGUUGAUAGGGUAUCCUCGAGUUGAGAGGAUUGAUCAUACUCACAGUCUGUUUAUACUUGUGGUGGUCGCUCCACCCGAGUCUUCGUGCACUCCGGAGUUUGAUGCGAGAGGGACGAGUUGAUGUCCUGCAGACAGCCCCGGGUUUGAGAGCGAGGUGCGUCUCCUUACCAUACGAGGUUUGAGGUGAGUCGUGGGCGAACCCAAGUGGAUCGCCAAGGAUUGAUUGAACAAGAGUAUAGCAUCGUUAAUUGAACAUUGCUUAUUGGACAUUAUGGUUGGACAUGGUAGCAUAGUAGUUGACAUUACUAUAUGACACAUGCAUGCAUGAUACAUAACUUUGGGCAUAGUAGCAUAGUUUUCCUAUUAUGUCAUUUACAGCUUUGAUAUCUAUCUACCUAUCUACCUGCUUUUGCCCACUCGGACCUAGUGGGAAGAUCGGCGGAGUCGACGGCCGAACCCACUGGGAACUAUGGAAGAUAGUUCUCACCCCACUUUGUUGCAGGGCCUAGUACCAGUUCGCCGGGCGAGGACCGCGGCAAGGGCAUCGCGCCCGAGCAGUAGUAUGUAGUAGCUUUCCUUUUGCAUUAGCACACCUAUGUAUUUGAGAGAGAUUCAUGUAGGUGAGGACUUUGGAGAGUUAUG
rnacentral:lncRNA from 1 species